GGUAAAAUGGCUGAGGAUAAGCAUUGAACUGUAAAUUCAAAGACAGAGAUAGGAUCUCUUUUUGCCA
rfam:Sarcophilus harrisii ctg7180002495771, whole genome shotgun sequence.